UGGGGAAUAUUGCACAAUGGGGGAAACCCUGAUGCAGCGACGCCGCGUGAGCGAAGAAGUAUUUCGGUAUGUAAAGCUCUAUCAGCAGGAAAGAAAAUGACGGUACCUGACUAAGAAGCUCCGGCUAAAUACGUGCCAGCAGCCGCGGUAAUACGUAUGGAGCAAGCGUUAUCCGGAUUUACUGGGUGUAAAGGGAGCGCAGGCGGUCUGGCAAGUCUGGUGUGAAAGGCCGGGGCUCAACCCCGGGACUGCAUUGGAAACUGUCAGACUGGAGUGUCGGAGAGGCAAGCGGAAUUCCUAGUG
rnacentral:rRNA from 1 species